ACGGAAGGCGGCAGUGGGGAAUACUGGGCAAUGGGCGAAAGCCUGACCCAGCGACGCCGCGUGAAGGAAGAAGGCCCUCGGGUUGUAAACUUCAGUCCACAGGGAAGAAACAAAUGACGGUACCUGUGGAGGAAGCCACGGCUAACUACGUGCCAGCAGCCGCGGUAAUACGUAGGUGGCGAGCGUUAUCCGGAUUUACUGGGUGUAAAGGGUGUGUAGGCGGGUCUGCAAGUCAGAUGUGAAAAUUAUGGGCUUAACCCAUAACUUGCAUUUGAAAUUGUGGAUCUUGAGUGUCGGAUGGGUAAAUGGAAUUCCCAGUGUAGCGGUUAAAUGCGUAGAUAUUGGGAGGAACACCGGUGGCGAAGGCGGUUUACUGGACGAUUACUGACGCUGAGACACGAAAGUGUGUGGAGCAAACAGGAUUAGAUACCCUGGUA
rnacentral:rRNA from 1 species